rnacentral:rRNA from 1 species
GAUGAACGCUGGCGGCGUGCUUAACACAUGCAAGUCGAACGAAGCACUUUAUUUUAUUUCCUUCGGGACUGAUUAUUUUGUGACUGAGUGGCGGACGGGUGAGUAACGCGUGGGUAACCUGCCUUGUACAGGGGGAUAAUAGUUGGAAACUGCUGCUAAUACCGCAUAAGCGCACGGCAUCGCAUGAUGCAGUGUGAAAAACUCCGGUGGUAUAAGAUGGACCCGCGUUGGAUUAGCUAGUUGGUGAGGUAACGGCCCACCAAGGCGACGAUCCAUAGCCGAGCUGAGAGGGUGACCGGCCACAUUGAGACUGAGACACGGCCCAAACUCCUACGGGAGGCAGCAGUGGGGAAUAUUGCACAAUGGGCGAAAGCCUGAUGCAGCGACGCCGCGUGAGCGAAGAAGUAUUUCGGUAUGUAAAGCUCUAUCAGCAGGGAAGAUAAUGACGGUACCUGACGAAGAAGCACCGGCUAAAUACGUG